rnacentral:rRNA from 1 species
UACAGAGGUCUCAACCGUUGUUCGGAUUCAUUGGGCGUAAAGGGUGCGUAGGCGGUCGCGUAAGUCAGGUGUGAAAUCUCAGGGCUCAACCCUGAAACUGCACUUGAUACUGCGUGGCUCGGGUACUGGAGAGGAGACUGGAAUUUACGGUGUAGCAGUGAAAUGCGUAGAUAUCGUAAGGAAGACCAGUGGCGAAAGGCGGAG